CCUAUCAGUAAGAGUCUGGUGGCUCUGAAUCGUUUUCCUGCAUUGGUGACCCUUUUCUUCCUACUGGCUUGCCUCGUCCAGCUUUGAUGAUAUGAGGGUUUGUGCCUAGACUUAUUGCAACGUGCUGUGCUGUGUUCAGGAUGGACGUCAGCCUCAGUCUGUGAGCCAGAGCAAACCCUUUCUUCCAGCAGUUGCUUCUAUCCAAUAUUCUGUCACCGUCAGAUCUAUGUCACUAACAUAGAAAGCUGAUACCCAAAAUGGAGCAGUCUCUAUCAUAAAUCUGACCUAUUUGAUAUGAGUUAUAUGAUUAAUCAGAUAAGUUCUGAGGCCUUUGAGGCUGGCUUGCAGGACAAACGUGGAAGGGUUUGGAAUGUGGGGCUAGCAAACAGGUAGAAGGCUGUGAACAGAGUUUGCCAGGACUUUCUGCCAGGAGUUUAGAAGACCAGAAUAUAGGGAGAAGUGUAGAUCAUGGAGACUGGCUCCUGAGAUUCUAGAGGGGUACAGAGAUUCCACCAGGAAAUCCUCUAAACAAUUCGUGUUAUUUUCUGGUGAGCAAUCUGGCUGUAUCUUUUCUAUGCCCUGGGGAAUUAAGAGACAUUAAUUACUAACUCAGUGGAUUAAUUUUUUGGUAGAGGAAAUUUCAAGAAAGGAUUGUAUGUGGGUUGAGGUUAUGGCCCCAGCUUGCUCCUCUCACCCAACACGCAUGGGAAGCCAUGCCUUAUGAAAAAUGCAAAUUUGGUUGAAAGACAUGGGCUAAACCGUGACUAGCACUGAAGAGAAGGUUCCUGACUCAAAACCCACAGCCUGUGAGGGAUGCUGUACGGCACUGUGGUCCUACAUUCUGAGAUGACAACACUUCACAGUCUCAGCUGCAUGGACAAUACAAGAUUGAGGGGUUCAUGAAGUUUAGGGCCAAAGUCCCUGAGAGCCACUAACACCACGACAGGGUUGGAGUUCCUGCAAGGAGGCUCUGAGAGGCUGUGGCAUGAAGCUGUGAAAGUGAAGUCUGAAUUGAGAUUGUGAUUUUGCUGCAGCAACAAGAAAGAGCAUAGUGGAAAGUUGAGAGCUUUUAGAGACGCAUUUCAAGUUCCUAAUCAGCUUACUUGGAAAGAUUAUCGUAAAUGGAUCUACCCUGACUGCAGAGAACAUUAAGUGGAUCUGGACCUUUGCUGACACUGAGAAUCUGGAUCCACAAGAAGAAGCAAGCUGUUAUAAAUGCUACAGCCAGAAGAAAGGAUGAGAAUUCUGUUCUGCCCUGAGGGCCCUCGUGAACUUAUCCUUCUAGAUUCCAGCCCUAGCUUAGAGCUCAGACUGUUCCUUACACAAUGGUCUGGGCAUAGCACCCCUUAAGC
rnacentral:lncRNA from 14 species